rnacentral:rRNA from 1 species
AGCGAACGCUGGCGGCAGGCCUAACACAUGCAAGUCGAACGAAGUCUUCGGACUUAGUGGCGGACGGGUGAGUAACACGUGGGAACGUGCCCUUUGGUACGGAAUAACUCAGGGAAACUUGAGCUAAUACCGUAUGUGCCUUUCGGGGGAAAGAUUUAUCGCCAUUGGAGCGGCCCGCGUCUGAUUAGCUAGUUGGUGAGGUAAAGGCUCACCAAGGCGACGAUCAGUAGCUGGUCUGAGAGGAUGAUCAGCCACAUUGGGACUGAGACACGGCCCAAACUCCUACGGGAGGCAGCAGUGGGGAAUCUUGCGCAAUGGGCGAAAGCCUGACGCAGCCAUGCCGCGUGAAUGAUGAAGGUCUUAGGAUUGUAAAAUUCUUUCACCGGGGACGAUAAUGACGGUACCCGGAGAAGAAGCCCCGGCUAACUUCGUGCCAGCCGCCGCAGUAAUAC